rnacentral:rRNA from 1 species
UACGUAGGGCGCAAGCGUUGUCCGGAAUUAUUGGGCGUAAAGAGCUCGUAGGCGGCUUGUCACGUCGAUUGUGAAAGCCCCGGGGCUUAACUCCGGGUCUGCAGUCGAUACGGGCUAGCUAGAGUGUGGUAGGGGAGAUCGGAAUUCCUGGUGUAGCGGUGAAAUGCGCAGAUAUCAGGAGGAACACCGGUGGCGAAGGCGGAUCUCUGGGCCAUUACUGACGCUG